rnacentral:misc_RNA from 1 species
GAUGAAGAACGUAGCGAAAUGCGAUAAGUAGUGUGAAUUGCAGAAUUCAGUGAAUCAUCGAAUCUUUGAACGCACAUUGCGCCCCUUGGUAUUCCAUGGGGCAUGCCUGUUCGAGCGUCAUUUGUACCCUCAAGCUUUGCUUGGUGUUGGGUGUUUGUCCCGCGUUGCGCGUGGACUCGCCUUAAAGCGAUUGGCAGCCGGCAUAUUGGCCUUGGAGCGCAGCACAUUUUGCGCUUCUAGUCAUGAAUGUUGGCGUCCAUUAAGCCUAUACAUUUGCUCUUGACCUCUGAUCAGGUAGGGAUACCCGCUGAACUUAAGCAUAUCAAUAAGCGGAGGA